AAAAGAUAUACAAAUUUAGCAGUUGCCAGUUAGUGAGCUUCUGUAGAUUGAACUCAUUAUCUCAUGAACAAUGGGACCCUAUUUUCUGGUCCCCCAUCAAUCACAACCAACCAACCAAAACCCAUGAACUCACUUCCACCAAGAGGGCAAUGCAGGCCCAUCAUCUAUCUCUUCUUGCCAGUUUUCUUGAUCUUGACCAUCACUUUGAACAAUUCAUCAGAAUAUGUAGCUCUCAAAGGGGUAGAGGUCCACAAAUCCCAGCAAGAUGUUACCCUCUACCUAUGCCAGGUCAAUCACCUAAACUCCAAAAAAAUAUAGCCCAAAAAAAAAGACCUCAUUGUUCUAGAUAGUCGUUGACAAGAGACGGUAACUUGGAAUCAUGUAAGCAACCAUUCAAAAUAAAAAGAUAGUUUUUUUUUUUUUAUUUGCAAAUUUUUUACACUGCAAGGCCGUAGGGGCAUCAAAAAAAACAAGGGGCCACGAAUACAUCUUAAGCCAAUUUUAAGGCAAAGACUAGGUAAACCUGAAUUUGCACUCCUCUUCACUAAAGAGAAAUUAAGCUGUCUAAAACAAGAGGCAUAAGAUAGAAUAGCACGAACCGUGGCCUUGAUUUCUCAAAGAAUUUCCAAUUAAGACUUUUGCACUGCUGAGAAGGGAAUUGUUGAAUCAGUUUCCAAAAUAAUAACAGGGGCAGCCAUUGAAAGCGCCAGUUGAACUCCUUCCAGCAUGGCCCGUGCUUCCUCUGCUAACGGUGAGUUGCAACACGCUAUAUUAGCCACUCCAUCUAGUAACUCACCCCUAUAUAGUUUCUUACAACCAUCUCAAAUGCUGCUGCAUUUUCCUCAUCUUUCCAAGCAAAAUCACAGUUUAAUUUAAGAGUGCUAAGCGGAGGUGGUUCCCAUUUGUCCGACCUCGGAGCAUUGCUUGCAAUUAUCAUCGAAGGGCCUAUUAUAGAUGGCAGUUGUUGCUGUGAAUAGGCAACUGGGUCCGCAGAGUUAUGCUAAAAAAUGACUCGCUUGCGGUCCUUCAAAAUUGCCCAGAGAGUUGGAGCAACGGAGAAGAAAAUGUCCUAUGUUCCACGGAUUUCACAUUAUCAAACAUUGGACAAAUGGAAUCCACUUUUUAACACCCUGCACCUGCAAAAUCUACCUCUUCGUCCACAGGAUUGAUGGGAGCUGGUAAGGCUGGUGCGCGUUGCCCUCCCUCAACCGGUGUAGCUCCUUGUAGAUCAUGAGGUUAACACACGAAACGGACAGAAUAGCAACCAGAUUUUUCAAGAUGCCAAAUCAAGGAGCCUGCACAUCCAGUAAGAGCUAUAGGCAUAGAAAGAAUAGCCGGAAAAUGCACAUGGCCAAAUAAAUUGUUAACCAGAUCUGUUCACUCAAGUCUACUAUGAUCAAUUAAAUCCGCCCCUGAAUUGACGUCGAGUAUUAUGAUAAUUUUUAUUUUAUUUUUACAAUAAUACAAAUUUUAUAAAAAAAUCCACUAAUUGUAGUGAUGAUUGUAGGAUUACAGCGAUGGAUGAAGUUGAAUCACUCUGGAUUAUUGGUUUUUAUACAACACAUUUUCUUUUUCCUUUAUAUAAAAAUCAAUUUUCAUCCUCUUUGAAUUUGCUUUAGAAGACGGGAAAAAAAAAGGCUAGAUAAUAGAUCUUUGCAAUCAAAAUCUUCAACAUCACAUUAAAUUACUGUACUAUAACAUCCAAUAAAUUAUUUCUAUGGCCAUCUCGCCCUUACAACUUUAUAAACCAUUGUUAUUUAGCCUAAAUCCCCAAACCUGGAAUGCAGGUGUGGCAUGUACUCCAACCCAGGCUACCUUGAUUUCAUCCGUACUUCGCUAUACAACCUGAAAAAGCUCACAAUUUUGCAACUUCUAAAUUUCAUCUAAAAAUGAGAACAGAAGAAAAACAAAACUUCAACAAUGACAAACUUGGGAACUAAAUGGCCUUCAUAACGAAAAAAUAUGCAAAUUUUAACUUCUAAUGAAAACUAAUAGCAUGACAACUGCAGAUCCAUUUGAUGAGAUCAAGAGAAGAAAAAUCUGGAACCAUUUGGAUGCAUAUAAACCAAAAAUAGCUAUACCUACUCAUCAAGGAUGCACCUAACUUGUGUUCCCUGAGAACCUUUCCACAAUAUCAACCCUUGGAGAGAGAGAGAGAGAGAGA
rnacentral:misc_RNA from 1 species